rnacentral:tRNA from 1 species
GCCGGGGUGGCAGAGUGGUCAAUGCGCAGGCCUGGAGAGCCUGUGGCCCUAUACGGGCCGCGAGGGUUCGAGUCCCUCCCCCGGCG